rnacentral:rRNA from 1 species
CUUGGUCAUUUAGAGGAAGUAAAAGUCGUAACAAGGUUUCCGUAGGUGAACCUGCGGAAGGAUCAUUCACAAACGAGUGUUUUAUGGCACUCUUUAAAAAUCCAUAUCCACCUUGUGUGCAAUGUUUGUUGGGAAAGUCUUUUCUUUCCCUUCAUAAAUAUCAACCUAUAUCUUUAACAACAUUCGUCUGAUAACAUAUUAUGAAUAUACUUAAUCCAAAAUAUAACUUUCAACAACGGAUCUCUUGGCUCUCGCAUCGAUGAAGAACGCAGCGAAAUGCGAUACGUAAUGUGAAUUGCAGAAUUCAGUGAAUCAUCGAAUCUUUGAACGCAUAUUGCGCUCUUUGGUAUUCCGAAGAGCAUGCUUGUUUGAGUAUCAGUAAACACCUCAACCUCUCUUUUUGACAAAAAAAGGGAGGGUGGACUUGAGCUAUCCCAACGACCUUCACCGGUAGGCGGGCGGCUUGAAAUGCAGGUGCAGCUGGACUUUUAUCUGAGCUAAAAGCAUAUCUAUUUAGUCCUCGUCAAACAGGAUUAUUACUUUUGCUGCAGCUAACAUAAAGGAUAAUUGUCCUCUUUGCUGACUGAUGCAGGAUUUUACGACACUUUAUGUGUUGUUCAACUCGAUCUCAAAUCAAGUAAGACUACCCGCUGAACUUAAGCAUAUCAAUAAGCGGAGGA